AGAGAUCUAGGUGCAUGGGAUGAAAUAUAUCGAAAUGCUCGGAAAUCAGAAAAGCUCAAGUUUGAAGCAAAUGAACGGGAUGAGGGUGAGCUCGAAAGGACGGGACAGACUGUAUCCAUAUAUGAGAUAUACAGUGGUUCUGGAGCUUGGCCAUUCAUGCACCAUGGUUCUUUGUACCGUGGACUAAGUCUUUCCACGAGAGCACUGAGGUUAAGAUCUGAU
rnacentral:misc_RNA from 1 species